rnacentral:lncRNA from 1 species
ACCAAGGACAGUGCGGCGAAACCGGGGCCUCCUCUUCUCCGACGUCUCUUCGACAGACAACUGAUGUGGACGGCCUCCAAUCCGACCCCCCCUGUGUGUAUGCCUGCGCUAGGUGCCUGCCAAACUUGCUGUUGUGGUGCAAGCUCGCGAUCGAUCGAUCGAUCGAUGGGUAACAUGCAGAGUUGGAACCGCCGUCGCCGACCAGACCCAGCCAAGACCUUCGAAAGCGCUCCGAUACUCGAUUGCUCUUGGCUGCUUGCGUAGACUCAAGCUCGAUCCGUCUCCCUUUCUUUCAGCACGGACAAGUUUAUUGCUGGACUUGGACUUCUUCUCCCGUUUCUCAUUUCCUUUUCUCAUUGACUUUUUACAGCUUCUCACGCCAUGGAUCUAGCAUAGCAGCAGACUCUGCGACCGGCCUAACUCCAGCUACUCCUUCAAUGUAAAACAGCUGCUAUUGACUUCCCCCCC